AGAGUUUGAUCAUGGCUCAGAAUCAACGCUGGCGGCGCGCUUAACACAUGCAAGUCGCACGAGAAAGGGGCAACCUGAGUAAAGUGGCGCACGGGUGAGUAACACGUGGAUGAUUCACCUCUUUGUGGGGAAUAACCCUGGGAAACCGGGGCUAAUACCGCAUAAGCUCGAGAGAGGAAAGCAGCAAUGCGCUGAGAGAGAAGUCCGCGGCCGAUUAGCUUGUUGGCGGGGUAAUGGCCCACCAAGGCUGCGAUCGGUAGCCGGCCUGAGAGGGCACACGGCCACACUGGCACUGAAACACGGGCCAGACUCCUACGGGAGGCAGCAGUGGGGAAUCUUGCACAAUGGAGGAAACUCUGAUGCAGCGACGCCGCGUGAGCGAUGAAGCCCUUCGGGGUGUAAAGCUCUUUCGACGGGGACGAUAAUGACGGUACCCGGAGAAGAAGCUGCGGCUAACUACGUGCCAGCAGCCGCGGUAAUAC
rnacentral:rRNA from 1 species